rnacentral:tRNA from 1 species
GGUGUCAUGGCUCAGUGGUAGAGUGCUUGCCUAGCAUGCUUGAGGCCCUGAGUUCGAUCCUCAGCACCA